CGCGUAGGUGGUAGUGCAAGUCUGGGGUGGAAUCCCAGGGCUUAACCCUGGAACUGCCUUGGAAACUGUAUUACUUGAGUCAGUGGAGGGGAGGGUAGAAUUCCUGGUGUAGCGGUGAAAUGCGUAGAUAUCAGGAGGAAGGCCUGUGGCGAAGGCGGCCCUCUGGCGCUGAACUGACACUGAGGCGCGAAAGCGUGGGUAGCAAACAGGAUUAGAUACCCUGGUAGUCCACGCCCUAAACGGUGGGUACUAGGUGUGGGGCUCGUAAGGGUUCUGUGCCGAAGCGAAAGCAUUAAGUACCCCGCCUGGGGAGUACGGCCGCGAAGGUUGAA
rnacentral:rRNA from 1 species